rnacentral:misc_RNA from 2 species
AAGAGUUGCAAAACUCCCAAACCAUUUGUUUAUCUACCUGUUUCGUUGCUUCGGCAGGCGGCUCUUCGGGGCCUUUGCUACCUGUAGUGCCUGCCGGAGUAUCCAAAACUCUUGUUAUUUUUGUUUUGUCUGAGUAAACUUUUAAUAGUUA